rnacentral:rRNA from 1 species
AGAAUCAAUGCUGGCGGCGUGCCUAACACAUGCAAGUCGAACGAGAAAGUGGAGCAAUCCAUGAGUAAAGUGGCGCACGGGUGAGUAACACGUGACUAACCUACCCUUGAGUGGGGGAUAACCUAGGGAAACCUGGGCUAAUACCGCAUAAUACCUUCGGGUCAAAGGAGCAAUUCGCUUUAGGAGGGGGUCGCGGCCGAUUAGUUAGUUGGCGGGGUAAUGGCCCACCAAGACGAUGAUCGGUA